rnacentral:misc_RNA from 1 species
ACAAGCUGAGUUAAUAGGAAGUUUUAGCUCUUAAAGACUUUCUCAACAUUUCCCUAAUAUAUAUAGAAUAAAUAACAUUUAGCACUGCCCUUAGCGGGCCCACAGAUAGAUUUUGUCAUCUUCAAUAGUGAUGAUGAAUUGGACAAAAGGACAAAAAAAACCAGAGCUUGAUCAGCAACCACCGACAGAAAUUGUAAAGAGAAAGCCGUAGGCGUGAGAGUUUUUGUCGGUGGUAGGAAGCUUUUGCUUGCAAAUUUUUAAAUUGACUCAGACGCCACCCAGAUAGGAGACAAUAGACCUUACAGGCCAAUAGCAGGUAUUUGGAGAAGCCGUGAUGCUCUCAGGCCUUGAGGCUUUGCAACGCAAUCUUUUUGCAGUUCCUUCCAGAAAUUAUUAAUAGUUUUGCACUCAAAAAAAUUGCAAAGAUCCAUUGCCAUCCCUUCUUGAUAAUCAGAUCUACCAAGAUCUCAAAUUAGGGAAUGGAUGGACAUGCUUGGACCAUGGUAGUCAGCAUCCAUUUUGAAGCUAAAACUAUGAUAGAUAUCGCAGAAUCACACCGUCAAUUAUCAUUUUUUUUUUCAUUCAUUGGAAAAUACACCGUCAUUAUCAUUGAAAAUCAUGUGGUAAGAAAAAAAGGAUGAACCCAGGUGAUAAGUAGUACUCUAUAAGCAUUCAACACUCUAUACCGAGCUGCAGAUAUAUUUGGCGCCAACUUUUCUUCCAGUCUUCACAAUACUUUGAAAAAAUGAAAAAGAAUUUUACACUAAAAUGAAGAAUUACCGAAUGAAUUGCCUUCCCUUCUCUCACUUUGCUACUGCAAAAGUGCAUGAUGUGCAAUUACUUCUGCAAGCAACCUAUAAGGAAUUGCAUCCAUCAUAUUAUUUGCAUUAGGCAACUUCAAACUGUUGGAUGCAUCCCACAUGCUAGUGAUCUUUGCCUUACCCACAUGGCUGAUCAUUUUCGUGGUUUUCUUAACAAUGUAUCGAACACUUGAGAGUCCAACUAAAUUGUACCAUUUAUAAAGCAUAUCUGCUGAUUCCUUGGCUAUUAUUGUGCCCCUUCAGAGAUCCACCUUGAUUCGUGAAUCUCAGCCAAGGGAUUCACUAUGAACCCACCACCACCCUGAAGCUGUAAUCUGUGACUCUCCAAGUUUUGCGUUCCCGUAUUGCCAUUUUUAACAGCUCUAUGGCGAAUGGCAGCCAAUGAUGGAGUGCCAGUAGAAGAGAACCUUGAGGUUGAAUAGCAGCUUUCUGUUUUCCUCCAGAACUUGGAGCUCAAAAAAUCAGCACCAGGCAGCAUGCAACAUGUGGUUCUGUGGGAGUUGGUCAUCCUUCCACUUGAUACAGCCAAGUCAUAUGAGAUCUCGUCCAGUGCCAAUUCUAAGCCAUGAACACGUGUCUCAAGAGAACGCAUCCCACUUUGUGAAGUCCCAAUGAAUUUCUGUAGGAGAUCUUGUAGGUUAGAUUGCUGCCUUUCAAUCUGAACAAGCUGGUUGCGGAUCAAAGAUAAAUCUUCACACUCUUUGUGGUUAGUAUGGUGAUUCUCAAUAACAUUGCUGGCUACAACAGUUGAUGCCGGACUCUCAUCUUGGCAAGGAACCACACGAGAUCCAGACUUCAUCCCACCAAAUUUGAGCAUUUUGUCAUCAGAAUUCUUACUCAGAAGGGUCCAUUUUGUUUCUGGCUUUGCCAUCUUUCUUUUUGGGGCACUAUCAUUAUCACCAAUCCCAGUUGCAGUACUAUUAGGAAUUGCAACUUCAACUUUCCAGUCCAAGGGCCUCUUGCAGUCCACUUUUCUGAACAAUGAUGGAGCCAUUUUCUUUUCAGCCCUCGUUAAAGAACCUCUCCUCCUAGCCAUAUUCACUGCUGAAUGAUAAGGUGGAGUAGUCCUGCUCGCUAAACUGGUUUUUUUCCUCAUUCGAGGGGCUUCAGAACCAGCAGCACAAGAACUUUUGGAACCAAUUGGAUAGCGUCCAUCACUUGCAUCCUCUUUUGAAGAAACCUGAGAUGGAGGUGGUGGCGAUACAUCCUCAGAAACAUCUGGAACCUGCUUCCAUGCUUCGAUCAUCUGAUUCAUCACUUCCCUUGCAGCUUUCACCUUAUCGAAUUUCCGUUUCUCAAAAACUUUCAAGCACCCACUCUUGAACUCCGCCAUGGCAUCUCUCUCCACAACUGCCAACCUCCCGAGCGCCUCCGCUGCUGCCUUCCUCGCUGCCCAGUCCUCGCUGC